rnacentral:rRNA from 1 species
AGGACGAACGCUGGCGGCGUGCUUAACACAUGCAAGUCGAGCGGUAAGGCCUUUCGGGGUACACGAGCGGCGAACGGGUGAGUAACACGUGGGUGAUCUGCCCUGCACUCUGGGAUAAGCCUGGGAAACUGGGUCUAAUACCGGAUAUGACCUGCUCUCGCAGUGGGGGGUGGGUGGAAAGAUUUAUCGGUGCAGGAUGGGCCCGCGGCCUAUCAGCUUGUUGGUGGGGUAAUGGCCUACCAAGGCGACGACGGGUAGCCGACCUGAGAGGGUGACCGGCCACACUGGGACUGAGACACGGCCCAGACUCCUACGGGAGGCAGCAGUGGGGAAUAUGCACAAGUGGGCGAAAGCCUGAUGCAGCGACGCCGCGUGAGGAUGAAGGCCUUCGGGUUAGUAAACCGUCUUUCGGCGAGGACGAAGCGACAAGUGACGGUACCUGCAAGAAGAGCACCGGCUAACGUACGUGCCAGCAGCCGAC